rnacentral:rRNA from 1 species
AGUGAACGCUGGCGGUAGGCCUAACACAUGCAAGUCGAACGGCAGCACAGUAAGAGCUUGCUCUUACGGGUGGCGAGUGGCGGACGGGUGAGGAAUACAUCGGAAUCUACUUUUUCGUGGGGGAUAACGUAGGGAAACUUACGCUAAUACCGCAUACGACCUACGGGUGAAAGCAGGGGAUCUUCGGACCUUGCGCGAUUGAUUGAGCCGAUGUCGGAUUAGCUAGUUGGCGGGGCAAAGGCCCACCAAGGCGACGAUCCGUAGCUGGUCUGAGAGGAUGAUCAGCCACACUGGAACUGAGACACGGUCCAGACUCCUACGGGAGGCAGCAGUGGGGAAUAUUGGACAAUGGGCGCAAGCCUGAUCCAGCCAUACCGCGUGGGUGAAGAAGGCCUUCGGGUUGUAAAGCCCUUUUGUUGGGAAAGAAAAGCAGCAGGUUAAUACCCCGCUGUUCUGACGGUACCCAAAGAAUAAGCACCGGCUAACUUCGUG